AUGUCAGUUUUCUUCAACCCAAGAACGGCUGUUUGCAUAAAGGAUGAAUCAAAGGCAAGAGAGGCAUUGAUCAUGGCUCAUUUACCAGAAGGAACUAAAAUAUACCUGCUAGUAAUGGUAGUAAACAUCGUUCACCCGCACCUAACAGGGGAAAUAAGAAACCUUCUUUUCAUAAAUGAAUAUGCAUGUACAGAAAGAAUUAUUAUGUGAUGAGAAAAUGAUACGGUUAAAGAAUAGUGUAAGCUGAAUUUGUCUACAAUUAAAAUUUUUAUAAAAAAGCUUUUUCCUAGGUAUCGUUGUGAGCACUAUAAGAGAGAUAAAAAUUUAACUGAUAUUAUUCAAAUGAAAAUCAAAGAUUGCAACUGCACUAAUUGCCAACUGCUUAAAAGAAAAUGUCUUGAUUUUCAAAGUCUAAUGUACUUAUAUUUAUUACUUUGGAGCUUUCCUUUCUUCUUAAAAGUCAUGUUUUGCUAUGACUGUCAAAAAUAUAUCAUUACUUCAUUAAGAAGUCAUUUUGUUAAAGUAAUUUAUAUGUAAUUAUAAAAAUAUGGAUAAAUUUGCAUAUUAGUUUUAUUUCACAGAAUGGGUAAUACGAAUGAGUAUUCCUUUCUAGGUAGCUUGAUUUUUUGCUCUGAAUUUUUUAAACAUCUUAAUUCUUUUUUCUUUUCUUUGUUUCUUUUUUAAGAAAAAAAAAAAAAAACAGGGUCUUACUCUGUCACUCAGGCUGGAGUGCAAGGGUGCAAUCUGGGCUCACUGCAACCUCCACUUCCUGGGCUCAAGCAAUUCUUCCACUUCAGCCUCCCAAGCAGCUAAGACUACAGGUGUAUGCCACCAUACUUGGCUAAUUUUUUUUAAAAAAAAUUUGUAGUGACAAUGUCUCGCUGUAUUGUCCGGGCUGGACUGGAAGUCCUGUAAUCAAGUGAUCCUCCCACCUUGGCCUCCCAAAGUGUUGGGAUUACAAGCAUGAGUCACUGUACCAAAGUCUUAAUUCUUGAGACUCUGAAAUUUUAUCAGCAUGUAUCUUGGUAUGGAUGCUUUUUUUCAUCCAUUGAACACAAUACGUUACUCCAUGGACUUAUUUCAGUCUGAAAAAUUGACUAUUUUUUCAGUUCUGAGAUUGUAAAAAUUAAUAUCUCUUUGAUGAUGUCUUCUUUGUUUCUUAUAUUCUUUGAUUUUAUGGGUUUUUUUUAAGUUAGACUUAAUCACCAAAUUUUUUAAUUAACUAUAAUAUCUUUCAUUACUUUACCUUUCACUCAACAUUUGGUAAAAAUUUUUGGAUUCCUUUACCCUUUGCCCUGAUCCAUUGCAUUAUUUAGUUAAUAUACCAAUGAUUUAAAUUCCAGAAAUACUAUUAUAAUUUUUAUUUACAAUAAAUGUAAUAUGUUAUUUCAGAAAAUUAAUUUAUAUUACUUGCUUAAACUAAAUUUUAAAUACAGAUAAAUUUAUCUUGGUUGAAUGUUUUCCCAAGGAUGUUUCACUUGAUCUGUGAAAGUUUAGUAGCUAUUACUUGAACAAAAAGUCUGUUGUGAGGUGAAUUAAGUUUAGGAAAAUUAAAAAUUAGGAAAAACUGUGUUUUACAAAUACUAAACAUAUUUCUUAAAUAUAUGAUUACAAAUAGCAUUA
ensembl:lncRNA